ACAAAGGCUCUUUUAAGAGCCACAUUAAAUUUUCUAAGAGGUGCUUG
rfam:Takifugu rubripes chromosome, Chr_17